AAAAGAGUUCGAUUAAGUAAGGCAAUCCGAAAACUGUUUCGGGAUCUGAUCAUCGAAUGCUUACGGUGAAGAGAGAGUUUAAGCCCCAUACAACAUCUUUCAGCUUACGAGUGGCUGAAAAUAUCGUACCAGUUAUAAGUAGGCUAUGAUUAAUACAACAUGAGGCACUUAUGAGAGGUUACAUCAAGGAUUUCCAUCAGGGUUGAUAAAAUUUUAAAGGAAGUCAAUGACGAUCAAGGGGUCCGAAUAUACACUGGCGACUAAUCAGCAAUAUCAAGAUCCCAUUGAUUACGGAUAAAAUUUAUUAACAAAAUUGAAACUUAUUGAUAUGAAGUUACAUAAUGUAGUAAAGAAGAAAUCACAUGAUAUAAAUAUAAGGGAAAAAGUACACUAAAAUUA